UGCCUGUAACACAUGUGGAUAGAGCCUUCCUUAAUCUUCGUUCGUGAAGCCUAGCCAUGACAAAUGAAGUAUUUAGCCGCUGCUGAAAGCUAUAUGAACCUAUGAAUGUGAAUGUAGAAUGUCCUGAUUGUGGCCUCAGCAGAGUUAUUGUAUCAGUGCUGCCGCUGUGCUUCUCUCUCCUUCUCCUUUUCUUACAUUUAUAUUAAAGUUUGUACGACCCCACGGCUGUCCCUCGUGUCCUGGUCGGUGCGGGAGCUGCGGGGGCCGCUCGCCCCGUGCGGGGCGGGGAAAAACCCGAGGGAACGCCCGCAGGUGCCGGGAUUGCCCCGUUCGCCCUGAGGGAGCCAAGAUGGCGGAACGCCCUCACGGUUCCACCAAUCAGCGGCACCCACUGCAGACGGGGCCGAAGCCUCGCUAUUGGCUGUUUGACCCGUCACUCUUGGCUCCCGCGCGCUGAUUGGUCACGGCCGUGAGGGUGGGUCACGCCCACGAAGGAGUCGUCCUCGGAGUUCUGGCAGCACCGGGAGCGACGGCAGUGUCCGGACCCCGGUGAGGCGGCGGCGAAGCUCGGACGCGGCCCCGGCGCAGACUGAUCCGCCACUUGUUCUGGAUGUCACGGAGUUGCUGUUGGAGCUUGCUGCGUGCGAGACGAAAGGCGGCUUUUCUUACAUGACAAGAAGGCUGAGUGAGGAGAAAAGUUCCUCAGAGGACUGCAGGAUGCAGUUGCUGGACGGCGAUCUGACCGCGCCGGGAGAGAAGGAGAAUGACGAACAGCGCCGGGCGAGAACGAGAACGAACAUCGCCCUGCUGGGCUGCACAGCGAUCGUGCCGCGCCGGGAGAGAAG